GUCUCCAUGGCUCAGCUGGUUAGAGCAUCGGUCUCAUGAUCCGGGGAUCGCGAGUUCGAACCUCGCUGGGGACA